rnacentral:tRNA from 1 species
UCCUCAGUAGCUCAGUGGUAGAGCAGUCAGAUGUUAACUGACUGGUCGUAGGUUUGAAUCCUACUUGGGUAG